rnacentral:rRNA from 1 species
AGAUUGAACGCUGGCGGCAUGCCUAACACAUGCAAGUCGAACGGGAGUAGCAAUACUCUAGUGGCGGACGGGUGAGGAAUACGUAGGAAUUUGCCCUUAAGUGGGGGAUAACCCGGGGAAACCCGGAUUAAUACCGCAUGACCUCGAAAGAGCAAAGUGGGGGAUCGCAAGACCUCACGCUUUUGGAGAAGCCUACGUCGGAUUAGCUAGUUGGUGAGGUAAUGGCUCACCAAGCGACGAUCCGUAACUGGUCUGAGAGGAUGAUCAGUCACACCGGAACUGAGACACGGUCCGGACUUCCCGACGGGAGCAGCAGGUGGGGAAUA